rnacentral:rRNA from 1 species
CCGGCUUACCAACCCGAUGCAAACUGCGAAUACCGGAGAAUGUUAUCACGGGAGACACACGGCGGGUGCUAACGUCCGUCGUGAAGAGGGAAACAACCCAGACCGCCAGCUAAGGUCCCAAAGUCAUGGUUAAGUGGGAAACGAUGUGGGAAGGCCCAGACAGCCAGGAUGUUGGCUUAGAAGCAGCCAUCAUUUAAAGAAAGCGUAAUAGCUCACUGGUCGAGUCGGCCUGCGCGGAAGAUGUAACGGGGCUAAACCAUGCACCGAAGCUGCGGCAGCGACACUGUGUGUUGUUGGGUAGGGGAGCGUUCUGUAAGCCUGUGAAGGUGUGUCGUGAGGCAUGCUGGAGGUAUCAGAAGUGCGAAUGCUGACAUAAGUAACGAUAAAGCGGGUGAAAAGCCCGCUCGCCGGAAGACCAAGGGUUCCUGUCCAACGUUAAUCGGGGCAGGGUGAGUCGACCCCUAAGGCGAGGCCGAAAGGCGUAGUCGAUGGGAAACGGGUUAAUAUUCCCGUACUUGGUGUUACUGCGAAGGGGGGACGGAGAAGGCUAUGUUGGCCGGGCGACGGUUGUCCCGGUUUAAGCGUGUAGGUGUGUGUUCCAGGUAAAUCCGGUUCACUUUAACACUGAGGCGUGACGACGAGGCACUACGGUGCUGAAGCAACAAAUGCCCUGCUUCCAGGAAAAGCCUCUAAGCAUCAGGUAACAUCAAAUCGUACCCCAAACCGACACAGGUGGUCAGGUAGAGAAUACCAAGGCGCUUGAGAGAACUCGGGUGAAGGAACUAGGCAAAAUGGUGCCGUAACUUCGGGAGAAGGCACGCUGACACGUAGGUGAAGUGAUUUACUCAUGGAGCUGAAGUCAGUCGAAGAUACCAGCUGGCUGCAACUGUUUAUUAAAAACACAGCACUGUGCAAACACGAAAGUGGACGUAUACGGUGUGACGCCUGCCCGGUGCCGGAAGGUUAAUUGAUGGGGUCAGCGCAAGCGAAGCUCCUGAUCGAAGCCCCGGUAAACGGCGGCCGUAACUAUAACGGUCCUAAGGUAGCGAAAUUCCUUGUCGGGUAAGUUCCGACCUGCACGAAUGGCGUAAUGAUGGCCAGGCUGUCUCCACCCGAGACUCAGUGAAAUUGAACUCGCUGUGAAGAUGCAGUGUACCCGCGGCAAGACGGAAAGACCCCGUGAACCUUUACUAUAGCUUGACACUGAACAUUGAGCCUUGAUGUGUAGGAUAGGUGGGAGGCUUUGAAGUGUGGACGCCAGUCUGCAUGGAGCCGACCUUGAAAUACCACCCUUUAAUGUUUGAUGUUCUAACGUGGACCCGUUACCCGGGUUGCGGACAGUGUCUGGUGGGUAGUUUGACUGGGGCGGUCUCCUCCUAAAGAGUAACGGAGGAGCACGAAG